UGUACGGAGCGGAAUCAGGGAUUUGGAGGAGUGGAGGCCGGCUACGGAACAUGUUCUUAGUUUCGAACGUACGUUAAUAAUCUGAGUGGCAUGGUUGGUUUAGUUCAUACCUGCUGCUGUAGGAACGGCGGCGGCGGCGAGGAGGAGCACCACCAAGAUCUUCGCCAUUGCUGUCUGCUGAUCGUCGACGAUUUAGAGGAUUAGUCGAGAGCUACGGGUGGAUAACGGGAUGCUUCUUGUCUUUCUCUUGCAGGCUCGUGGCUUGAUGUUUACGGUCGUUCACCCACAUCGUGGAUUUCCUCCCCAGGAUAGAAAAGGAAGCCGCGUCCAUUUCAGAAUAAACAGAAUAAGGACAACUUCACGGGCAAGUUCAAUUCCCUGAAUUUGAAUUUAAACCAUACAAGUAUUAAUAUAAAAAAGGAGCAUGCCGUUACAUUGCCAGCUCAGGCCGAUGCCAACACCAUC
rnacentral:lncRNA from 1 species